CAUNCUCAGAAACGAACGCUGGCGGCGUGGAUAAGACAUGCAAGUCGUGCGACAGACCAGGAAUUGAUUACUUCGGUUUGAUUUUCCUGACGAUGAGCGGCGAAYGGGUGCGUAACAYGUGAGAAAUCUGCCCUURAGUUCGGGAUAGCCCUACGAAAGUAGAAUUAAUACCGGAUGUGGCCCAGGGAGGGCAUCUUCCCCUGGCUAAAGYUCGGUUAUAGAGCGCUUUUGGAUGAUCUCGCGGUCUAUCAGCUUGUUGGUGAGGUAACGGCUCACCRAGGCUCUGACGGAUAGCUGGUCUGAGAGGAUGAUCASUCACACUGGAACUGASACACGGUCCAGACWMMUACGGGUGGCAGCAGUCGAGAAUCAUUCACAAUGGGCGCAAGCCUGAUGGUGCGACGCCGCGUGGGGGAUGAAGGGCUUCGGUUCRWAWMYCCCUGUCAUCUGUGAGUAAGGCUCCCAAUAAAAGCUUGGGAGAUUGAUAUUAGCAGAAGAGGAAGGGACGGCUAACUCAGUGCCAGCAGCCGCGGUAAUACUGAGGUCCCAAGCGUUGUUCGGAUUUACUGGGCGUAAAGGGUGCGUAGGCGGCUAUAAAAGUUUGGUGUGAAAUCUCCGGGCUCAACCCGGAAACUGCAUUGAAAACUAGAUAGCUAGAGGAUCGGAGAGGAGAUUGGAAUUCUCAGUGUAGCAGUGAAAUGCGUAGAUAUUGAGAGGAACACCAGUUGCGAAGGCGGAUCUCUGGACGGUUUCUGACGCUGAGGCACGAAAGCUGGGGUAGCGAAGAGGAUUAGAUACCCUCGUAGUCCCAGCCGUAAACGGUGCGCACUUGCUGUGGGCGGAUUCGACCCCGUCUGUGGCGAAGCUAACGCGAUAAGUGCGCCGCCUGGGGAGUACGGUCGCAAGAUUAAACUNA
rnacentral:rRNA from 1 species